rfam:Triticum aestivum genome assembly, contig: Triticum_aestivum_CS42_TGACv1_scaffold_033101_1BL
AAUAUACUCCCUCCGUCCCGAAAUUCUUGUCUUAGAUUAGUCUAAAUACGAAUGUAUCAAGUUAUACAUCCGUAUCUAGACUAAUCUAAGACAAUAAUUUUGGGAUGGAGGGAUUAUUUC